rnacentral:lncRNA from 1 species
GGAAGUUGAUUGUUUUAAAAUUAAAAAUCAAAAGUGUUCGCCUGUUUUAACAAGAACACAAUCACAAUGAAAAUCAGGAAGAAUUCAUUGACGACAAGGAAAAGAAUGAAUUAUUUUGCUGAGGCCUGACCAAUCGGUAACGUCAGAACUCAAGAUUUCAGUUUGUAUUUCUGAAAAAUGUCUAGACCCUGUCAAAAACUGUAUAAUAACAUGAAAAAAUCAAAAGAUUUUUGUAUUUAUCAACAUGUGUUUUACUUCACUUCAUGACAUAUAUAGUUAAAGAGCUAAUUCUCGGGAAAGCGGAAACCUCUAAUCCUACACGUAGUAACAUGUAGGAAGACGGCAAUUUGAAAAUAAAAUUUAAACUUUGAACUGUGUCAUUAUUUCACAUUAUCAAAACGGAAAAUAUGUAUCAACAAUAGUUCAGUUCAGUUUCUUGUAUGUUUCUCCAAUAAUUGUGGAGCACUACCCAAAGGGUAUAGUUUUAUAUAUCAAUGAAAGAAAAAUCUAUGCAUUGCAUUGGUGAUUGGCGAUGCGAUUAUUUUAAAAUUUAAAAUCAAAAGUUUUCGCCUGUUUUAAGAAAUGUCUGUUUGUCUUAUUAUUUUAAGCCCUGGC